CGGGAGGCAGCAGUGGGGAAUAUUGCACAAUGGGCGCAAGCCUGAUGCAGCCAUGCCGCGUGUGUGAAGAAGGCCUUCGGGUUGUAAAGCACUUUUGUCAGGGAAGAAAUCGUUCGGGCUAAUACCUCGGGCAGUUGACGGUACCUGAAGAAUAAGCACCGGCUAACUACGUGCCAGCAGCCGCGGUAAUACGUAGGGUGCAAGCGUUAAUCGGAAUUACUGGGCGUAAAGCGCGCGUAGGUGGUUUAUUAAGUUGGGUGUGAAAGCCCCGGGCUCAACCUGGGAACUGCAUUUGUGACUGCAUGGCUUGAGUACGGCAGAGGGGGAUGGAAUUCCGCGUGUAGCAGUGAAAUGCGUAGAUAUGCGGAGGAACACCGAUGGCGAAGGCAGCCCCCUGGGCCAUGACUGACACUCAUGCACGAAAGCGUGGGGAGCAAACAGGAUUAGAUACCCUGGUAGUCCACACCGUAAACGAUGAAUGCCAGUCGUCGGAUAGUAUACUAUUCGGUGACACACCUAACGGAUUAAGCAUUCCGCCUGGGGAGUACGGUCGCAAGAUUAAAACUCAAAUAAAUUGACGGGGACCCGCACAAGCAGUGGAGCAUGUGGUUUAA
rnacentral:rRNA from 1 species